rnacentral:lncRNA from 8 species
UCCAGUCUUCUACAGUUCUCAUUGUGAGAGUGGACACUUUGCUUGCUGAGAGCACAACCUAGGCUACACUUCUGACAAACUAGUUUGGGAUUUAAUUAAAUUAACAAGUUGUCAAUUUAGUUAUUGUCUUUUGUUUGGAGUGCUCCUAUCAAUGUUGAGUUAGGACGCGCACCUGAUGACGCAUAGAAGUAGGCCCAGGCUACCUGGCCUGCGCGCAAAUGUAGGCCUAUAAAUGUGCCCAUUUGGGGAUCUGAUAGUAUUUCUGAUUGUCUUAACUCACUACCACUAAUGAGCAGUGGAGCUUCUCAAAGUCAUUUUUCUUCACCUCAAACAGCAAGUAAACAAAGUCUGUUUUUACAUCCAUUGAGAAUGACAUAAGUUCCUCAAUGUAGCCUAUUUGAUCAAUCUUUCCAGCUCUCUCGAUUUCUACCUGCAGGCUGCAAUGUUUGUAUUUGUUGGCUUUAUGUAGGCUAUUUUUACAUAGUUGGCAAUGGAAAUAUAAAUUACUUUUACAUUUGUAUAAUUUAGGUAUCAUUUUUAUUAAUCACGUGACAAUGAUUUUGAGAUAAGAAGACUUUAUUAUUAAAAAAAUGAAACGAAAAAUUGCGACCAGUCAGUUAGUCGAAGGAACAGACGACUCUUGGUCGAGCAAUAUUUUUUUGUUGUUGUCGGGGACAGCCCUAGUAUGACGUAAUCAAUACUCAUACUCAUUUUGGCAACACAUUAGACAAGUCAUUUCACAGCUCACUCUCAAUAAAACCUGUCCAGUUUUCAAACAUUACAAGAACACAAUGUGUUGUGGCUUGAAAAGGUUUCUUCAACCUUGUAUUGAGUUAGGGUUAAGGACCGGCCAAUCUCUUAACCAUUCUAAGAUGAUAAGUACUUGGUAAUGUGACAAAAUGUAAACUGUUUCUUUAUUGCUUGGGGCACCUAUAUGUCUAGAAUGUGUGGAGACCACCACUUCACUUCCCCACCAAAUGAGUUUGACUGGAGUUAAUACCAGUGCUCUUUCUGUCUGUUGUUUUGUGUUGUUACCAGGAGGACGUAGAGGUGGUCCAGAGAGAGAGAGAGACAGGGCCCUGGAGCGCAGCCAACAGCUGGAGGAGGAAAUACAAACACUAUGCACGUGACACACACAUACACUUCCUCUUUAAGAUGUCUGUAUCUGCAUAGUGAAGGUUCUCCGAUAACAGGAAUAUAUGGUUUAGUGCUGCUUGGAACAUUGGUAUAAUUUCUGCUAGGGUUAUACAGCUCCAAAUAGUGGAUUUAAAGGCACAAUCGUGAAAUAUGAUAAGACUCAUAUUAGACUUAGAUGUGACUUAGAAUCUUAGUGGAAAGUCAUUUAUGAAAUCAAAUAAACCUGCUCACUCACUCGUGCAUUUUUCCAAUAGUACAUUGUUAUACCGUUGGUUUAGGGGACACAAUUUAGUUCAACAAAAAAGUAUCCCGUCAUCAUUAUUGUGAUAAUUGUAAAAUACUGAACCUAGUAAUAAAGUAUGUUGUUCCUGGGUACUUUCUGAUCCCAUUCUGCACAAAUACUACUAGCCACAGAGCGAGAACUACACAUUCAUAGGACCACAGAUCAUUUCCAUUUCAUUUGGCUGAAAGGGUCGGGUAGCUAUGAUCGCACCCCAUUCUAACUUCUUAAUAAAAAAUGGCUGCACAGCAAGACAGCUCAUUGCUCUCCCGCUUAUUAAAAAUGGCUGAGAAACAUGUUUUCGCCAGCUCUCCCUCCAACCUACUCAUAUUAACAGCUAAAACUAAUCCUCAUAUGCAUCGUUUUGCUCUAAUUUCAGAUAUCUAAAGUAAUUACACCCUAAUUAUAAUAUUAAUCCAUGAGAAUUAAUUAUUAGAGGUUUUGGAAAAUACAGAAAAAGGGUGCUUUUUAUUUGGCUUUAGCUUUAAUCGUCCGCCAAUGACAUUUGUUUUUGUAAUUAGUCAUUUAAUGGAAUAAAUUGUGUGACAACCCCUUAAAAAUAGAAGAGAACUGUGCAGCGGUGUAGCUGGCAUGUCCUACCAUCUAUUUUCUGUUGGCUCAGAAAGUAGCCGAUCUAGUUUGGUAACCUGCAUCCUGUUCUCAAUGUGUGUCAUAUCCUGAUAGUUAGUUUUCUCUGCAUCUCAUCUGUCACGUGGUGGACUGUUAGGCUGGCAUUGGUCACCACAGAGUGACUGGGAUCUCUGAGAACGCUAGUAGGUUUUUAUGGAGUGGCCCACCCCACCCUGGCUUUGCUCUGAGGAGACUAAGGAUAGCGUUGUAUUCUCCUUUUCUCAGACAAUUUGCAUUGUGUGAGAGUGGGAGCAAGAGAGAGAGAAAGAGAGUCUAUUUCACUUGCCUUGCCAAUGUAAACAUAUGUUUGCCAAUUGAAUUGAUAGGGAGAAAGAAAGAAAGAAAGAAAGAUAGAGGGAGGUAGCCUAGUACUACGUCUUAUCAGUGGUCCUGUAGACCUUUAUGUGGGGAACCGUCCUUCCAGCCCCAACAAAGCAGAGAAGAGAAGCUGGCUCUGCUCUGUGUGUGUGUUUGAGGAUUCACUCUCCAUUGUGUCUCCUGGAUAAUACACACAACCAAUCACAGACAUGCUAGCUACACCGCUGUACGGUUUUCUCUUCUAUUUUUAAGGUGUUGUCACACAAUUUAUUCCAUUGAAUGACUAAUGACAAAAAAAUGUAUUUGGUGGCCGGUUAAAGCUAAAGACAAAUAAAAAGCACCUUUUUCAGUAUUUUCCAAAACCUCUAAUAAUGAAUUCCCAUGGAUUAAUAUUAUAAUUAGGGUGUAAUUACUUUAGAUAUCUCAAAUUAGAGCCAAAUGAUGCAUAUGAGGACUAGUUUUAGCUCUUAAUAUGAGUAGGUUGGAGCCAUAUGGGCCCUGGUCAAAAGUAGUGGGAAGAGGGUGCCAUUUGGGACUCAACACAAGGAGGCUGGAGGGAGUCAGUCAGGCCAAGCAGGGCAUGUAUUAACACUCCGGAUGGACAUGAAACUCCCUGGGGAAGGCUGAUCAUCACGGAGGUUGAGUGGGUCGAACUUUAACGCCGACAAACUCAAUAGUGAUUAGCUAGGCUAGCAGAGGGAAACGAGACAGGCUGGCUGCCUGGGGUUUCUCUCAGUAAUUAUUUUUAGUACCUUAUGUUCCUAUCUACAUAGUGAUCUACACAGAACCCUGAUUCCAUGUUGGUUUUAACAGUAAAGAAGCAUUUAUCAACUUCCACUGUCCCCCAAGAGUUGCUGAAAUUCCUCUUCACUUUCAUGGGACUUGCUUGAAAAGACUUGCCUGUGGAUUUUGAAUAUCUAGGAGGACAUUUUAGGUUGUUAAUAUUAAAGUUUUUUAUUUUAUUUAACCUUUAUUUAACCUCUAUGGGCUAGGUGGGAUGCAAGCGUCCCACCCGUGGUGCACUCCAUCAACAGCAGGUGCAUUUCAAGAGCGGCAAAUUUGAAUCCAAAUAAAUGUCAAAAUUCUAAUUUUUCAAACAUACAACUAUUUUACACCCUUUGAAAGAUAAACAUCUCCUUAAUCUAACCACGUUUUACGAUUUCAAAAAGGUUUUACGGCGAAAGCAUAAAUUUAGAGUAUGUUAGGACAGUACAUUUACAAGAGUUGUGUGUAAUGUUGUGCCAAUUCAAAGACAGGCGUCACCAAAACCAUAAAUCAGCUAAAAUGAUGCACUAACCUUUUACAAUCUCCAACAGAUGACACUCCUAGGACAUUGUGUUAGACAAUGCAUGCAUUUUUAGUUCUAUCAAGUUCAUAUUUAUAUCCAAAAACAGCGUUUUACUGUGGCGUUGAUGUUCAGGAAAUCGUUUCCCUUCAAUAACCGGCAGUCAAGUCAGC